GAAGGACAAUACAAUUCUCUAUCUGUUAUGUGUCGCUUUGGCUAUAAGCCUGAUUGUUAUAGCCUGUCUAGUUUAUUCAAUCAAGAAGCUAAAGAAGAGUUCAUAUGUAUAUUCUAAUGAUGCAGUUGCCCUGCAAACAAAUGUACUUUCAAGUGGUGACCAGGAAAAUCAGCAGACAGAUGAGGACUUGUUGGUUUAUUCGGCACCAACUUUUAAAAAAGCGAGCAAAUCGGGGACAAAGGAUACAAAACCUGCAGAGGAAGAGAGCAUCUACACUGAUGUCAAGGCUCUUGGGCUGGAUUAAGCUCUACUAGCAUCAUAAAUGUGGACAUAUAUUUCACUU